CUUGUGGGGAAUGUUGGCUGGCUCGAGGUAUCCACAUCUUAAUUCCUCUCCGGCGAUCGAGCCGGCUCGGGCGUGUGGAAGCGUCGGACCAGGCUUCAUUCCUCGCAAG
rnacentral:pre_miRNA from 10 species